GCCAUGGGAUGGGUGCCAGGCUCCGACUGGAUGCCAGCUCUGCAACCAAUCAGACCCAAGCAGGGGAUGGGCUUUGGAGACUCCGCCCUGGAGCACUGGCAGCUGUACAACAGCUGUCUGGGGGCCCCGUUCCCAGGGCUUUUGAGUUCCUGGCGAGGGGGGUUUCGAAAUAGGAGGGGAGUCCUCUGCAAUCGAUUCCCGUGGAAUCUUUGGUCCCCCAUAAAACUGAUGGUCGUUGUAGUCCCAACUGGAUCUGAUGUUAGCGCUUCUAAAUUAAAAUGGGCAAGGAAAGAAGAAAGCUGCAAAGAUCGUGAAGGAAAUCUGAAGCGUGUUUAUACAACUCCGUUUGAAGUCUGGUGUUGUAACUUAGGGGAAAUCUGCAGUUUUUAAAAUUGCGAUGAAUUGGGUUUCUGUGGCUUCCAGCCAAAUUCUGGUGGUGUGAAUUAGAUCAACUGAGAAAGGAAGGCUGGGGGCAGAGCAGGAAUUCUGCUGGGUGCUUCGUCUCCGUUGCCAGCGAGGCGUCCGUCUCACCAAAGCCUUCGUCCUGCUGAACUUGGAGCAGCCUCUGGAUCAGAGCCGGCCUUUCCCUCUCCGCCUCCUCCUCACUGCUCCACCUUGGCCCCAUCCUCUCUUGCAACCUCGGUCCAAGAGACGGGACCCCCGGUUGCUGAACGUGGAAGCCUGCGGCGUCCGGUUUGAUGUGACGGAGCCCUUCCGCGACGCCGAAGGAGGCCGAGACGCCGAAAUGUGCGUGAAAGUUGCGUGUCCGGAAGGAGACACCUGCGAGGACCUGCAAUUGAGUCUGCGCUGCCCACCUUUCCUGGCCACUCUGUGGCGCAGCCUGCCUCAUCCUGAUGGCUAAACAGAUGGAGGGUUUCUUCUGCAAGGUUACCAGGAGGAAGAUGAAGGGCUCCACACAAGCUUGAGUUCAGCUGCUGAGGCAAUCUUCGGACCGGUUCCUCUGCAGGAUUCAUUUAUAUUUGGCAAUGUUUCAAUUGCUCCAAGCGAAGACAUAGGAUAUGUUGCAGGCGUGUGCAGGCCACAGCUGCGCACACUCGGUCAUGCGUUGAAUGCUAUUCCAGGCGGCAAUGUUGGGACGAUAGUUUUAACUGGUUAACAACCGUGUGACUAACCUAGCGACUGCAGUGAUUCACUUAACAACCGUGGCAAGAACCGGGGCAAAACUCACUUAACAAAUGUUUUACGUAGCCACAGGAAUGUUGGGCUCAAUUAUGGUCAUAAGUCAAGGACUACCUAUAAAGAGAUGGGGCUGAUUUGGUGUCGUCUGUUACAAAGUUUUGCAAACCUACCACCAAUGUCAAGCGAUUACUUAGCUUGCUAAAAGAAGAGAUUUCAACUAGCAAAAACAAUGCAAUGCUUUGAAGACCUCUUUUUCUCUUUUACCUGAGAUUUUUUUUUUUUUAAUUUACAUUUAUAUCCCGCCGUUCUCCGGAGACUCAGGGCGGCUUACAGUGUGUAAGGCAAUAGUCUCAUUCUAUUUGUAUAUUUACAAAGUCAACUUAUUGCCCCCCCAACAAUCUGGGUCCUCAUUUUACCUACCUUAUAAAGGAUGGAAGGCUGAGUCAACCUUGGGCCUGGUGGGACUAGAACCUGCAGUAAUUGCAGGCAGCUGAUAGGAUCUUCGUAAUUUCUGCAGAACGCACGAACUUAUUACAGGCUGGACGUUCUCUCCGUUUGUGUUGUUCUUGUAAUCUUGGCUGUUGGGAUUAAGCAUAAGAAAAAUAUAUUAAGAUGGCGCAUCCCCGUUGUAGGACAGAUUUCACUAGACUUUUAAAAUGUCCUCGAAAGGAAUAACAAUCUUCUGAAAAGGUGCGGGGGUAAAAACUUCUGAAAUCAGGUCUCUGUAUUUCCUCAUGAAAUGUAACCUUGAACGUUGCGGGAUGGUGGCAUGUCAUGCAAUAUUUAUCUGGGCUCCGUGGUCUCUUGUUCACUGUUCUCUAUCCAUUCCUUUGUUUAUCUAUAAGGUUUUCCUUGUCUGUUUUUGGAAGUCUAUAUUUUUGGGAGAAGACAUCCAUUGUAGAUUCAGUCAAAACUCUUUAUCUAAAAUGUUGGGAGGAAAGGGAAUCAAAAGAAAAUUAUGUAAUGUUGCCAUGUUGUUGGGGGGGGGGCUUCUGAAAUAAAGUAAGCCUCUGCUGAAAUCUCUGCUAUGCUUAUUUCUGAUCAGUGGAAUUUUUCUUUUUUUAUACAAGACUAUCUUCACUUCUGACUUUAGUUUUGAAACCCCUGUUUUAAGGAAUAGACAAAA